rnacentral:rRNA from 1 species
GACGAACGCUGGCGGCGUGCUUAACACAUGCAAGUCGAACGGAAAGGCCCUGCUUUUGUGGGAUGCUUGAGUAGCGAACGGGUAAGUAACACGUGAGUAACCUGCCCUUGACUUUGGGCUAACUUCAGGUAACUGGGGCUAAUACCGGAUAGGAGCUCCUGCUGCAUGGUGGGGGUUGGAAAGUUUCGGUGGUUGGGGAUGGACUCGCGGCUUACCGGCUUGUUGGUGGGGUAGUGGCUUACCAAGGGGUUGACGGGUGGCCGGCCUGGGAGGGUGACCGGCCAAAUGGGAACUGAGAUACGGCCCGGACUCCUACGGGAGGCAGCGUGGGGGAAAAUUGAACAAGGGGCGGAAGCCUGUGGAAGCAACGCCGCGGGCGGGAGAACGGCUUUCGGGUGGAAAACCGCUUUAGCCGGGAAGGAAGCUUGAGUGACGGUAAUGGGUAAAGAAGCACCGGCUAACUACGUG